CAUAUGCUUGCACUGCUUCUGGUGGAUGGCAGGAUGAGGGGGUAGCGGAGUGAGAUGAGGUCUGGUGCUCGACCUCCGUUCGUGCGGCUGGGGAUCGGCUGCGAUGAUAAAUACCUCUGCUUGGCCUUGGCCCCGCGCUCUGGAAGGAUGCUCGCGGCGCAGGCGCUUCCACGUCGCUGGGUUUCGAGCGCUUGGCCCUCGUUCGUGCUCUUGCUAGAGUCCGCCGGCGUGAGGUUAGCUGCAGAAGCACGUAGAAAGCACCCAGUUUUGGUGGUUUCUGAGAGAUUUUUUUUCUUGCUUCUGGAUUGUGGUCGAGUCGUUUUCAAGUACACUGAGACACAUUAUUUGCAGUUGCUUUCAGUUUCAGCUUGCAGGAUACAAAUAAUUGGUGAGCUUUACUGGUGAAGCAAGGAGCUCAUGGCGUACAGCUAUAUGUCUGCUGGAGUGCUGGCCGGAGCCGAGCUGGUGGCCUCGUGCGAAUUCUGGAUGAAUUUUGUACCACGAGGUUGGCUGGCGCCUGGCGGGCGGCGGUAGUGCAGUGCAGUGCAGUGCACGCGGCCGCCCGAUUCUCAGUCGGGCAAGGGACGGCGUCCAAUAAUGGCAGUCGAUUCGCGGCAGCUUUCAGCUACAGAACACCUCGAGCUACUGCCCUCGCCGUUUCUCCUGUCUCGUCUCCUCAUCAAUUGCAAAUGGUUGAUGGUCCAACGGAGACGACGCGCAUUCAUGGCGAGCGCUGUGGCCCAACCUCCAACUGCGCCAGCCGCGAGAGGGUCUUCAGCUCAUGACGACUAUGGAGGGCAGCAAAGAGGCAAAUGGUGGAAUGGUGGCUGGCGGGGUCUGUUCAGUUCACACGUCCCCGCCUCGCAACAGGCCGUCUGUCGUCGGACGCAGUGGUACAGCUAGAGCAAAUCGAAACGUUUGGCCCUUAGGUAUAAGGUUUUGUCACACGAGAGGUUCAAAUACAAUGUAAAUUUUGCUCUUACCAAUGCUUUGGCCACGCUCAUUUGUAUAGACUGUGGAGCUAUAUACCCUUCGACUAUUUAUCUUUGUUUAUACUUAACACUGACUCGCUCUCAUUAA